ensembl:lncRNA
GUCCCGGAAAAGGGGGACGGCUCUGCUUAUCGCGGUUAGCGCGCUUGAAACGCUUCAUUCAUUUAAUCACGACGGACCGGACCGAAGAGGUAGCUGUUGUCAUGCCAAUUGGGAAGAUGGGGAAAGGAAGAUUCACCCGGAGCUAACAUCUGUUGCCAGUCUUCCUCUUCUUGUAUGUGGGCUGCCGCCAUAUGCCUGCUGAUGAAUGGUCUGUGCUGGGAACCGAACCUGGGCCGCCAAAGUGGAGCACACUGAACUUAACCACUAGGUCACCAGGGUUGGCCCAACAGCUGGGAAUUCUGCUGGAGUUAUGAAAGCUACCUGGAAUUGCACUGUCUAGUCACCAGGGACCAACAAAGACAAGGCUUUGCAGAAUACUAGCUCCGUGAGGUGUAGAAUCAUGGCUGCUUUGGAAAUUCAACUACAUCCCAGUGACUAAACAAGGCCCAGCACUUGAAAGAUGCUGAAUAAAUACCGGUUGCAUGAAGAAAUGAUUCAGUGGGUGGAAAUACCAUGUGGGACCCUGCUGAGGAUGGACUGCAGGGUUUUCCACUGUUACUUUUCUGUUUGAUCUGAGGAACUCCUGAAAACAUUCCUGAAGAGUCUUUUGAGACUCUCUGAGUGGAAAACCCUCCUGCUGUCUGAAAGUUUUGAACACCCUUGAAACUAGUGAGAAGCACUAAGACUUAAUGGUUCCUAUCCAUUCACUUUCAUGUAAAGAAUCAAAAUGUUGAAAUUGCUAGAGCUUCAGGCUCCUAUGAAACUGAUCCAUGUCAUGAGACAGAGACCAAGCUUAUCCUCUCAAGAUGGUGGUUCCCUGAGUGGAUGAGCUGGAGGUCAGGCUGCCUUUUCUCUAAGCCUUUGAUUAGUGGUACCUGAUUUGACAUUCUGGACCGGCUAUUUCAGAAAUAUUUUAAGCACAGCAUAUCUAUUCUAUCUUCUUGUACUUUAGGUUUUAUAUAAAUGAGGCAACAAUUACAGACACAGACUCUUUAGGAUGCUAACGUGCUGUUCAUAACUAGCCAGGAAAGGUCACCAAAUAAAUACUUUGACAUCUGCUAAGAAGGGAGAUUAGUAAAAGCCUUGACGCUGUGUUCGCCCAGAUCCCAGGAUGUGGGAGCGUUUUUAUUCUCUUUCAAUUCCUUUGUUGCGCUGGGAUUCUGAUGUGCUACUAAGCUUUAAUUUCUUGAAAAGCCGUUUCAUCAACCCUGUUGACUGUGUGCAAAGAUUCCCUCUACGCCCUCUGGUACAUUUGGGUCAGCCUGUACCAAAGGAGAAGGUUUUCUGGGCUGUUAAACCUUUGACUUCGUGUCUUUUGAAGAGCGCAUUUUGCAUUUUGUUAUGUCAGGAUUGUAAUUAGAUCCGUUAAUUAAGGGAAGAGUGAACUUUUCCCAAACUCUGUACCUCUUUGAAUUUUUGAUCAGUUUGCUUAGGUUGCUACUGACCUUUGCUAAGGGGUAUGCCACUGCUCAUUAAUUGGCAAAUUUUAAUGAGGAGAGUUGAUGAAUGCGCUGGCCUUGACAAUAAAUAAAGCUGGCUACCACUCCAG